rnacentral:rRNA from 1 species
AGAGUUUGAUCCUGGCUCAGAGCGAACGCUGGCGGCAGGCUUAACACAUGCAAGUCGAGCGGGCGUAGCAAUACGUCAGCGGCAGACGGGUGAGUAACGCGUGGGAACAUACCUUUUGGUUUGGAACAACUGAGGGAAACUUCAGCUAAUACCGGAUAAGCCCUUACGGGGAAAGAUUUAUCGCCGAAAGAUUGGCCCGCGUCUGAUUAGCUAGCUGGUGAGGUAACGGCUCACCAAGGCGACGAUCAGUAGCUGGUCUGAGAGGAUGAUCAGCCACAUUGGGACUGAGACACGGCCCAAACUCCUACGGGAGGCAGCAGUGGGGAAUAUUGGACAAUGGGCGCAAGCCUGAUCCAGCCAUGCCGCGUGAGUGAUGAAGGCCCUAGGGUUGUAAAGCUCUUUUGUGCGGGAAGAUAAUGACGGUACANCAAGAAUAAGC